CUGGCGGCAUGCCUCAUACAUGCAAGUCGAACGAGGUCUUCGGACCUAGUGGCGCACGGGUGAGUAACAUGUGGGAAUCUGCCUGAAGGUUCGGAAUAACUGCGGGAAACUGUAGCUAAUACCGGAUGUGUCUGCAAAGAGAAAGAUUUAUCGCCUUCAGAUGAGCCCGCACUAGAUUAGCUAGUUGGUGAGGUAACUGCUCCACCAAGGCUACGAUCUAUAGCUGAUUUGAGAGGAUGAUCAGCCACACUGGGACUGAGACACGGCCCAGACUCCUACGGGAGGCAGCAGUAGGGAAUAUUGGACAAUGGGGGAAACCCUGAUCCAGCAAUGCCGCGUGAGUGAAGAAGGCCUUAGGGUUGUAAAACUCUUUCAUCAAUGAUGAUAAUGACAUUAGUUGAAGAAGAAGCUCCGGCUAACUUCGUGCCAGCAGCCGCGGUAAUACGAAGGGGGCUAGCGUUGUUCGGAAUCACUGGGCGUAAAGCGUAUGUAGGCGGAUCAAAAAGUUAGAUGUGAAAUCCCUGGGCUCAACCCAGGAACUGCAUUUAAAACUAGUGAUCUAGAAAUUGGUAAAGGUUAGUAGAAUUUCCAGUGUAGAGGUGAAAUUCGUAGAUAUUGGAAAGAAUACCAGAAGCGAAGGCGACUAACUAGGCCAUUUUUGACGCUGAGAUACGAAAGCGUGGGUAGCAAACAGGAUUAGAUACCCUGGUAGUCCACGCAGUAAACGAUGAGUGCUAGUCGCUGGGACAAUAGUUUCAGUGUCGUAGCUAACGCAUUAAGCACUCCGCCUGGGAAGUACGG
rnacentral:rRNA from 1 species